rfam:Camelus ferus unplaced genomic scaffold scaffold844, whole genome shotgun sequence.
GAGGGGAUAGCUCAGUGGUAGAGUGCAUGCUUAGCAUGCACAAGGUCCUGGGUUCAAUCCCCAGUACCUCUA